rnacentral:rRNA from 1 species
AUGUGUGACACUACUGUUGCCACACCCCUGGAACUGGAAGAUGAAGAUCUGCUGAUCUCUUUUGUGGCUCACAAUGAAGCCCUAAAUAGACGCAGCACUUCUUUUGGUUCUGAGAUUUGGCUUAUGAUCGUUGGUUUCCCUUACAACUACCAAACGGACCACUAUAUCAACAAGGCUUUAGGGGGAUAUGGUUCUCUGGUUUCCUGGUACAAUCCUCGUCAGGAUAGACGCUUCAUCUUUCUCAAGGCACGUGUAAUCCGUCUGAAUUUGAUCCCUUGGAGUUUUGUGGUUUGGCAAUUAGGAGGAGCUUGCGACUGCUAG